AUUGAACGCUGGCGGCAGGCCUAACACAUGCAAGUCGAGCGGAUGAAGGGAGCUUGCUCCUGGAUUCAGCGGCGGACGGGUGAGUAAUGCCUAGGAAUCUGCCUGGUAGUGGGGGAUAACGUCCGGAAACGGGCGCUAAUACCGCAUACGUCCUGAUGGCGCAAGUGGGUGAUCUUCGGACCUCACGCUAUCAUAUUAGCCUAGGUCGGAUUAGCUAGUUGGUGGGGUAAAGGCCUACCAAGGCGACGAUCCGUAACUGGUCUGAGAGGAUGAUCAGUCAGACUGGAACUGAGAAACGGCAGAGACUCCUACGGGAGGCAGCAGUGGGGAAUAUUGGGCAAUGGGGGAAAGCCGGAUACAGCCAUGCCGGGGGUGGGAAGAAGGUCUUAGGAUUGUAAAGCAAUUUAAGUUGGGAGGAAGGGAAGUAAGUUAAUACCGUGCGGUUUUGACGUUACCAACAGAAUAAGCACCGGCUAACUUCGUG
rnacentral:rRNA from 1 species